CAGCCCUGAGUUUUCGGAGAUGACCAAUUUCAAAUUCCCGAGGGUGCAGAACGCGUACGGUCCGGCAGGAACUGGUCUGUAACCACCUCCGGCCUCUGCUCCAUGACUCCCAGCGUUCCCCAGUGGAAUGCCAGGCGGCUUUGGGACAGUGCAGACUUCCUGCCUUUGAACUGCCUGCUUCUGAGUUGCCUGGAAUGCUGCUCUGUCUUUUUGCUUCAGUCCUCCUGGCCCCUUGUUUCCACAGUGUCUGCACUGAUCCACAGCAAAUCCCGCUCUCUCAGGACCCAUUCCUGGAUGGGAUGGCUUCCCCAGCCGUCCUGAAUCCCCCACUCAUUCCUGGGAAUUACUGGAUUCCCACUGUUUCCAGCACGAUACGUCCGGACUCCAGAGUCUCCCCGACCCCCCUCAGGAAUUACCCCCGGAUUCCCAUCUGGAAUGACCCGCAGAUUCCCACCGAAUCUGUGCCUGCUUCCCGUUUCACAUCCGAAUCCUGGAUUCCCAUCGAUUUCUCUCGGGUUACGAAUCGGCUUCCCAUCGUCUGGGGGCUGUCUGGAAUAGCUUCCGGAUUCCCGCCGACUCUGCCGGAGUGAAUCUCACACUCUCCCCACCCCCACCCCCCCCCACCCAAACCCCCCCACCCCCCCGACGAUCCCGCUUCUCCGCAACCGGCCGUCAGAUUUCCCCGGAGCGUGGGCGAGAGAGGAGGAGCCACGGUGUCCGGCGCGGCCCGCUUCCUGGGGGAAUGGGUUCCGUUCCCGCCGCGGGAGUUGGGAUAAGUCUGGAAUGGAGCUCAGUACGUGAGAGAGAGCGAGACCUGCCCUGGACUGUCAGACCCAUCCCGGGAAUUGUGCCUCUUUUUCUCCGGGUCCUACACGUGACUCCAGACCACAACGCUCCGAAGUGCCGUGGCGAGAGAGAGAGAGAGAGAGGGAUACCUCAAUCUGCAUCCUGUUGGGAGGAUUUCUACUUAUUUCUCGCGCCAACCCCUCGGGGUAUUCCCAAAUCCUCCUCCUCCGCGGAUUUGGGAAUGCCGAGGAUUCACCCUCUCGCGCCGACGCCUGUGUUGCGAAUGGUAACUCAUUCCGAUUGUCGGGAAUAAAUCGACUGUGUUUCCCCUUGUGAA